rnacentral:rRNA from 1 species
UACGAAGGGGGCUAGCGUUGCUCGGAAUCACUGGGCGUAAAGCGCACGUAGGCGGAUUGUUAAGUCAGGGGUGAAAGUCCUGGAGCUCAACUCCAGAACUGCCUUUGAUACUGGCCGAUCUCGAGUCCGGGAGAGGUGAGUGGAACUGCGAGUGUAGAGGUGAAAUUCGUAGAUAUUACGCAAGAACACCAGUGGCGAAGGCGGACAUCACCUGGCCCGGUACGUGGACGCUGACGGUGCGAAAGCGUGGGGAGCAAAGCAGGG